UACGAAGGGGGCUAGCGUUGCUCGGAAUUACUGGGCGUAAAGGGUGCGUAGGCACGGGUCUUUAAGUCAGAGGUGAAAUCCUGGAGCUCAACUCCAGAACUGCCUUUGAUACUGAGGAUCUUGAGUUCGGGAGAGGUGAGUGGAACUGCGAGUGUAGAGGUGAAAUUCGUAGAUAUUCGCAAGAACACCAGUGGCGAAGGCGGCUCACUGGCCCGAUACUGACGCUGAGGCACGAAAGCGUGGGGAGCAAACAGGG
rnacentral:rRNA from 1 species